AACGAACGCUGGCGGCAGGCCUAACACAUGCAAGUCGAGCGCGCCCUUCGGGGUGAGCGGCGGACGGGUGAGUAACGCGUGGGAACGUGCCCUUCUCUGCGGAAUAGCCUCGGGAAACUGAGAGUAAUACCGCAUACGCCCUUUGGGGGAAAGAUUUAUCGGAGAAGGAUCGGCCCGCGUUGGAUUAGGUAGUUGGUGGGGUAAUGGCCCACCAAGCCGACGAUCCAUAGCUGGUUUGAGAGGAUGAUCAGCCACACUGGGACUGAGACACGGCCCAGACUCCUACGGGAGGAAGCAGUGGGGAAUCUUAGACAAUGGGGGCAACCCUGAUCUAGCCAUGCCGCGUGAGUGAUGAAGGCCUUAGGGUUGUAAAGCUCUUUCAGCUGGGAAGAUAAUGACGGUACCAGCAGAAGAAGCCCCGGCUAACUCCGUG
rnacentral:rRNA from 1 species